GACAGAGGGUGCAAACGUUGUUCGGAAUUACUGGGCGUAAAGCGCGUGUAGGCGGUUAUGCAAGUUGGAUGUGAAAGUCCUCGGCUCAAUUGGGGAAGUGCAUCCGAAACUGCAAAGCUAGAGUCUCGGAGAGGAUCGUGGAAUUCUCGGUGUAGAGGUGAAAUUCGUAGAUAUCGAGAGGAACACCGGUGGCGAAGGCGGCGAUCUGGACGAUGACUGACGCUGAGACGCGAAAGCGUGGGGAGCAAACAGG
rnacentral:rRNA from 1 species